ACGAGAAAGUGGAGCAAUCCAUGAGUACAGUGGCGUACGGGUGAGUAACACGUGACUACCUACCCUCGAGUGGGGAAUAACCUCGGGAAACCGGGGCUAAUACCGCAUAACAUCUACGGAUCAAAUGCGUAAGCAGCUUGAGGAGGGGGUCGCGGCCGAUUAGCUAGUUGGUGAGGUAAUGGUCCACCAAGGCAAUGAUCGGUAGCCGGCCUGAGAGGGCGCACGGCCACACUGGAACUGAAACACGGUCCAGACUCCUACGGGAGGCAGCAGUGGGGAAUUUUGCGCAAUGGGGGAAACCCUGACGCAGCAACGCCGCGUGGAGGAUGAAGCCCCUUGGGGUGUAAACUCCUUUCGAUCGGGACGAUUAUGACGGUACCGGAUGAAGAAGCACCGGCUAACUCUGUGCCAGCAGCCGCGGUAAUACAGAGGGUGCAAGCGUUGUUCGGAAUUAUUGGGCGUAAAGGGUGCGUAGGCGGUGCGGUAAGUCUCUUGUGAAAUCUCCGGGCUCAACUCGGAGCCUGCAAGGGAAACUGCCGUGCUUGAGUGUGGGAGAGGUGAGUGGAAUUCCCGGUGUAGCGGUGA
rnacentral:rRNA from 1 species